GUCGGGGUGGGACCACGGCCAGGAAAGCCAAGCGAUGAUUUAGAUGCCGUUCAGUCCUGGGAGGGCGUUGUCGGUCCAACACCUACCGGACGCCUCACUGCACUUCAGCUGAAUCCUUACUUAGGGCAACGGUUAAAAGGCGUGUCUGAGCCGGGAGCCCGGUGCUGGGCUGUGGUCUGGCUGCAGCCUGCCCGGGGUGAUGGAUCGCCCUCGGGGAGCUCGGCCGGCCCUGGGCAGGCGGGCAGGGAAUGAGGCGUUAAUGAUGGAUGACCCAAGGGGGCUGGUUUAAUUUCCCACCAUCACCUGCCACUCCGCGGCGUCCCCAGCGGCGCCUGCAUCGCUUCCCAUGCUCUGCCCAUCCAUCAAGCAAACACGAGGCUUUACUCCUGCAACACGUGCUGUUUCAGAACGGACUCGGCUUUCCCUCCCCACCCACUGCACCCCUGCCUGCCAGAGGUGUUGCCUCUGAGUGUUGUUCGGUGUGUGUUGCUGAUUUGUCCUUGUCAGCGGAGAGCAGCGGGGGAGAGCAGAAAGACGCCCGUAUGUCGAUGACAAAGCCGUCUCAUGGCUCUCAGGGACCCGUGCUCUCUUCCCUUCUGCCUCAGCUCUGUCCUGGGCGCUUCUUCGGAGCCCCAA
rnacentral:lncRNA from 1 species